rnacentral:rRNA from 1 species
UGGGGAAUAUUGGACAAUGGGCGAAAGCCUGAUCCAGCCAUGCCGCGUGUGUGAAGAAGGUCUUCGGAUUGUAAAGCACUUUAAGUUGGGAGGAAGGGCAGUAAGCGAAUACCUUGAUGUUUUGACGUUACCGACAGAAUAAGCACCGGCUAACUCUGUGCCAGCAGCCGCGGUAAUACAGAGGGUGCAAGCGUUAAUCGGAAUUACUGGGCGUAAAGCGCGCGUAGGUGAUUCGUUAAGUUGAAUGUGAAAGCCCCGGGCUCAACCUGGGAACUGCAUCCAAAACUGGCGAGCUAGAGUAGGGCAGAGGGUGGUGGAAUUUCCUGUGUAGCGGUGAAAUGCGUAGAUAUAGGAAGGAACACCAGUGGCGAAGGCGACCACCUGGGCUCAUACUGACACUGAGGUGCGAAAGCGUGGGGAGCAAACAGG